GGAUGAUGUCAAGUCAGCACGGCCCUUAUAAGGUGGGCUACACACGUGCUACAAUGGUAACUACAAUAGGUUGCAAGAUCGCAAGAUUGAGCUAAUCCAUAAAAGUUAUCUCAGUUCGGAUUGUUCUCUGUAACUCGAGAGCAUGAAGCCGGAAUCGCUAGUAAUCGUGGAUCAGCAUGCCACGGUGAAUACGUUCUCGGGUCUUGUACACACUGCCCGUCAUGCCCUGGAAAUUGGCUUAACUCGAAGCUGGUGA
rnacentral:rRNA from 1 species